rnacentral:rRNA from 2 species
GGCGGACGGGUGAGUAACACGUAGGUAACCUGCCUGUAAGACUGGGAUAACUCCGGGAAACCGGGGCUAAUACCGGAUAACAUUUUGCACCGCAUGGUGCGAAAUUGAAAGGCGGCUUCGGCUGUCACUUACAGAUGGACCUGCGGCGCAUUAGCUAGUUGGUGAGGUAACGGCUCACCAAGGCGACGAUGCGUAGCCGACCUGAGAGGGUGAUCGGCCACACUGGGACUGAGACACGGCCCAGACUCCUACGGGAGGCAGCAGUAGGGAAUCUUCCGCAAUGGACGAAAGUCUGACGGAGCAACGCCGCGUGAGUGAUGAAGGCUUUCGGGUCGUAAAACUCUGUUGUUAGGGAAGAACAAGUAUGAGAGUAACUGCUCGUACCUUGACGGUACCUAACCAGAAAGCCACGGCUAACUACGUGCCAGCAGCCGCGGUAAUACGUAGUGGGCAAGCGUUAUCCGGAAUUAUUGGGCGUAAAGCGCGCGCAGGCGGUUUCUUAAGUCUGAUGUGAAAGCCCACGGCUCAACCGUGGGAGGGUCAUUGGAAACUGGGGAAACUGGAGUGCCAAAAAAAGAAAAUGGAAUUCCCUGUGUANCGGGGAAAUUGCCUUAAAAAAUUUGGAGAAACCCCCGUGGCGAAAGGCCACUUUCUGGGCCUGUAACUGACCCUUGAGGCCCAAACCGUGGGGAAANAACAGAAUUUUAUACCCCUGGGNUAAA